GAUUGAACGCUGGCGGCAUGCCUUACACAUGCAAGUCGAACGGCAGCACGGGUGCUUGCACCUGGUGGCGAGUGGCGAACGGGUGAGUAAUACAUCGGAACAUGUCCUGUAGUGGGGGAUAGCCCGGCGAAAGCCGGAUUAAUACCGCAUACGAUCUACGGAUGAAAGCGGGGGACCUUCGGGCCUCGCGCUAUAGGGUUGGCCGAUGGCUGAUUAGCUAGUUGGUGGGGUAAAGGCCUACCAAGGCGACGAUCAGUAGCUGGUCUGAGAGGACGACCAGCCACACUGGGACUGAGACACGGCCCAGACUCCUACGGGAGGCAGCAGUGGGGAAUUUUGGACAAUGGGCGAAAGCCUGAUCCAGCAAUGCCGCGUGUGUGAAGAAGGCCUUCGGGUUGUAAAGCACUUUUGUCCGGAAAGAAAUCCUUGGCUCUAAUACAGUCGGGGGAUGACGGUACCGGAAGAAUAAGCACCGGCUAACUACGUGCCAGCAGCCGCGGUAAUACGUAGGGUGCGAGCGUUAAUCGGAAUUACUGGGCGUAAAGCGUGCGCAGGCGGUUUGCUAAGACCGAUGUGAAAUCCCCGGGCUCAACCUGGGAACUGCAUUGGUGACUGGCAGGCUAGAGUAUGGCAGAGGGGGGUAGAAUUCCACGUGUAGCAGUGAAAUGCGUAGAGAUGUGGAGGAAUACCGAUGGCGAAGGCAGCCCCCUGGGCCAAUACUGACGCUCAUGCACGAAAGCGUGGGGGAGCAAACAGGAUUAGAUACCCUGGGUAGUCCACGCCCUAAACGAUGUCAACUAGUUGUUGGGGAUUCAUUUCCUUAGUAACGUAGCUAACGCGUGAAGCUGACCGCCUGGGGAGUACGGUCGCAAGAUUAAAACUCAAAGGAAUUGACGGGGACCCGCACAAGCGGUGGAUGAUGUGGAUUAAUUCGAUGCAACGCGAAAAACCUUACCUACCCUUGACAUGGUCGGAAUCCCGCUGAGAGGUGGGAGUGCUCGAAAGAGAACCGGCGCACAGGUGCUGCAUGGCUGUCGUCAGCUCGUGUCGUGAGAUGUUGGGUUAAGUCCCGCAACGAGCGCAACCCUUGUCCUUAGUUGCUACGCAAGAGCACUCUAAGGAGACUGCCGGUGACAAACCGGAGGAAGGUGGGGAUGACGUCAAGUCCUCAUGGCCCUUAUGGGUAGGGCUUCACACGUCAUACAAUGGUCGGAACAGAGGGUUGCCAACCCGCGAGGGGGAGCUAAUCCCAGAAAACCGAUCGUAGUCCGGAUUGCACUCUGCAACUCGAGUGCAUGAAGCUGGAAUCGCUAGUAAUCGCGGAUCAGCAUGCCGCGGUGAAUACGUUCCCGGGUCUUGUACACACCGCC
rnacentral:rRNA from 1 species